rnacentral:rRNA from 1 species
GUAGGUGGCAAGCGUUGUCCGGGAAUUAUUGGGGCGUAAAGCGCGCGCAGGCGGUUCUUUAAGUCUGAUGUGAAAGCCCACGGGCUCAACCGUGGGAGGGUCAUUGGAAACUGGAGAACUUGAGUACAGAAGAGGAAAGCGGAAUUCCACGUGUAGCGGUGAAAUGCGUAGAGAUGUGGAGGAACACCAGUGGCGAAGGCGGCUUUCUGGUCUGUAACUGACGCUGAGGCGCGAAAGCGUGUGGAGCAAACAGGAUUAGAUACCCUGGUAGUCCACGCCGUAAACGAUGAGUGCUAAGUGUUAGGGGGUUUCCGCCCCUUAGUGCUGCAGCUAACGCAUUAAGCACUCCGCCUGGGGAGUACGGCCGCAAAGGCUGA